AACCUCCGCUUUUUGUCACCCAGCUCAAGGCUGAAAUAGCGAAGCGAUUCAUCACAUGAUAGUGAACUACGACUCUCCAGAGAGCCAGGAGAAAAGCUUGGGGCCACGUGGGACUACAUCCCAGAGGACGCUGAAGUGCUGUGGCUGGAAAGGUCCUUCCAACUGGACGGACAACCUGAUUAUAAAGAACAGCUCAUGCUGCUCUACCCCUGCUCCUGCCACCCAGAGGAGGGAGAACGACACCAUGCCUGAGGACUGGCUUCUGUGAGGGGGUGGACCCGUACAGCAGUGGCUGUGUUGCCAGUGUGGAGGAGUGGCUGUACAGCAACCUCGGCCUCAUCUUUGGCGUGUGCAUUGGAGUGGCUGUGAUCGAGGUGCUGGGGAUGGUUCUAUCAAUGUGUCUGUGUAAGAAUGUGGAGCAAGAGGACUACAGCAAGGUGCCACGGUUCUGAGGUAUACCAGGUACUCGGGAACUCUGCCGUGGCUCACCUAGUGUGUACGACAAAUCAGUGACUAACCAACACACACGGGAUUUGAUUGUUCAGCCUUUGUAUUUGCUUCACUGCUUGUUAACUUUAGCUUGUAUACUUCAGCACUUUAGUACUAUCAUUAAAACUGUUGAUCAGUAUCUAUUUUGUAAAGAUAAUGUUUUCUACUUUAGAGAACUUUUAGCAUGGUAUGUUUGUAAGGGAAUAAUAGUUAUAAAGAUUCAAGAAUGCAUGUGAUCAUUAUACCAGUCCUCUAUAUUAAACGUGGGGCAGGGAUGAUGAGAAUGUGCCUUUGUCCCGAGCUUCCGUGCGUGAACCGAUGUUCAUCGCUCUUCCUCGCAGCCCUACAGAAGCUCGGCAAAUCACCCCUGUAAAUCUUCAAGUUUUCUACCAGUUUUUGUUAUAAUGCAUCUUGAAUCAUUUGUCUAAAAACCUGUCCAGGAGUUUUCAUUGUCUGUCAUCCAGCCUCAAUAAAUACAUUUGAGAAAA